rnacentral:rRNA from 1 species
GACGAACGCUGGCGGCGUGCCUAAUACAUGCCAGUUGAGCGAUGAAGAUUGGUGCUUGCACCAAUUUGAAGAGCAGCGAACGGGUGAGUAACGCGUGGGGAAUCUGCCUUUGAGCGGGGGACAACAUUUGGAAACGAAUGCUAAUACCGCAUAAUAACUUUAAACAUAAGUUUUAAGUUUGAAAGAUGCAAUUGCAUCACUCAAAGAUGAUCCCGCGUUGUAUUAGCUAGUUGGUGAGGUAAAGGCUCACCAAGGCGAUGAUACAUAGCCGACCUGAGAGGGUGAUCGGCCACAUUGGGACUGAGACACGGCCCAAACUCCUACGGGAGGCAGCAGUAGGGAAUCUUCGGCAAUGGACGAAAGUCUGACCGAGCAACGCCGCGUGAGUGAAGAAGGGUUUCGGAUCGUAAAACUCUGUUGGUAGAGAAGAACGUUGGUGAGAGUGGAAAGCUCAUCAAGUGACGGUAACUACCCAGAAAGGGACGGCUAACUACGUG